GACGAACGCUGGCGGCGUGCCUAAUACAUGCAAGUAGGACGCAGUUGCGAGCGGGUGAGUAACGCGUAGGUAACUACCUAUUAGAGGGGGAUAACAAUUGGAAACGAUAGCUAAUACCGCAUACUAGUAGAUGUACCUGCGUUGUAUUAGCUAGUAGGUAGGGUAAUGGCCUACCUAGGCAACGAUACAUAGCCGACCUGAGAGGGUGGUCGGCCACACUGGGACUGAGACACGGCCAAGACUCCUACGGGAGGCAACAGUAGGGAAUCUUCGGGAAUGGGGGGAAACCUGACCGAGCAAGGCCGAGUGAGUGCAGAAGGUUUUCGGAUUGUAACGCUUUGUUGUUAAGGAAGCGGUACUUAACCAGAAAGGGACGGCUAACUACGUGCCAGCAGCCGCGGUAAUAC
rnacentral:rRNA from 1 species